rnacentral:tRNA from 1 species
UAGCUCAGUCAGUUGAGAGUGGCGCUGACAACGCCAAGGUGACGGGUUCAAUUCCUGU